rnacentral:rRNA from 1 species
AAUCCAUAGGUUAAUGAGGCGAACCGGGGGAACUGAAACAUCUAAGUACCCCGAGGAAAAGAAAUCAACCGAGAUUCCCCCAGUAGCGGCGAGCGAACGGGGAGGAGCCCAGAGCCUGAAUCAGCAUGUGUGUUAGUGGAAGCGUCUGGAAAGGCGCGCGAUACAGGGUGAGAGCCCCGUACACAAAAGCGCACGUGCUGUGAGCUCGAUGAGUAGGGCGGGACACGUGGUAUCCUGUCUGAAUAUGGGGGGACCAUCCUCCAAGGCUAAAUACUCCUGACUGACCGAUAGUGAACCAGUACCGUGAGGGAAAGGCGAAAAGAACCCCGGCGAGGGGAGUGAAACAGAACCUGAAACCGUGUACGUACAAGCAGUGGGAGCCCCACCACUAA